AUUGAACGCUGGCGGCAGGCCUAACACAUGCAAGUCGAGCGUGCGGCGGACGGGUGAGUAAUGUCUGGGAAACCGCCUGAUGGAGGGGGAUAACUCCUGGAAACGGUAGCUACUACCGCUUACCAUCAGAUGUGCCUAGAUGGGGUUAGCUAGUAGGUGGGGUAACGGCUCACCUAGGCGACGAUCCAUAGCUGGUCUGAGAGGAUGACCAGCCACACUGAAACGGAGACACGAGACAGGCUCAUAGGGGAGGCAGCAGUGGUGAAUAUUGCGCAAUGGGCGGAAGCCUGUAGCCACCAUGCCGAGUGUGUGAAGAAGGCCUUCGGGUUGUAGGACACAGUCAGCGGGAAGGCGGUACCCGCAGAAGAAGGACCGGCUAACUACGUGCCAGCAGCCGCGGUAAUAC
rnacentral:rRNA from 1 species